AAAAUUUCUUGACUUCAUGUGACAAAGCAAUUCACAAUGAAAAGAACUACGAAGAUGCAAAAUAUCUCAGAAUCACAGAAUGAAUGAUUCUUUACCUCCUGACCCUUCAAAAGCUACAACUCGUAUUCUGAGCAUCUUAUCCUAAACAAAGGAAGACUUGAAUCCUUCUUAGUAAGGAUGAAAAACUAAUAGGGAAGAGGACAUAAACUAUGCAUCAAAGACCUCAGCAAUUAGUUUGAAAAGAAGCAAUAAACCAUUGUGAAACUCUAAGCAAACAGAAUGCAGUGUCAACGUACAAAUUCUGUAAAGAAAUGUAACUGCAGCUGCAAAGAAGCCAAGACCGUAACAUGUAGCACAUCACCCUUGCAGUUGGUGGGGCAACUCUAAGAUGAUGAAACCAUCAAAGGGCUUGCACUUUACUCCACAUAACCUAUUUGUUGUCCAAGUCACUGAGGAAGAAGGAGACUCUUUUCACGUUACUGUGAUCUCUCACACUUGGAGAGCAGUCAUUCCACCUGGACUUAUACAAUCUUUAAAAGAGUAAAAAGAUUCCUUGUGUGCUCUUCCCAAGCUGCAUGCACACACAAAGAACUGAUACUAUCUGGCUGCAGGUAACAGGUGCAAAUUCAGAAGAAAUUCGAUACAUGCUGAAAUACAUAGAGAAAACACAUAUUUUCUUUCUGGACAUAUUCAUAUUUCAACAAAUGUGGGCAGAGCAACUGUGUCACACCAAGCACUCAGAAGGGCCUCCAAAGGUGUCCAGAACAGGAGAACACAGAAAAGUCUGCCCUGGCAUUGUGUGACAAACCUCACUGUUUCCUUAAAUAAGACUAAGCUCCUGUUAUAAAACCCAGUGAAAUGGAUCCUGGAAAUUGUAAAGCUGAUUGCUGCAUCAGUUUGGGGAAGAUGAAUACUGUUGUUAUUGCUGCUCACUCUUGCUCUCCCAUACUCUGUCUUGUUCACUCACUGAGUCUGUAUUUGGAAUGCAGGAAAAACAUUUCUCAGCUAACAUGAGAUUAUAGUUUUUACUAAUGUUUGACAUUUCCAUGGCCUGUGAUCACAGUGGAAUUUUCUCCAUAAAGUGAUACCAUCUCCACAUGACUAAAUCAGAGCUGAAAAUCAGGCUCAGGAAGAAAACAAGCUAAACUUAUCUGACCAUGGCCUUGUAUCAAGAAGGGAUAUAACCUGCGACCACCAAGCAAGGGGAGCCAGUGGAAGGGGAAAAGACUCCCGAAUGGAGUAUAAAUGACUUGCUUUAUAUUCUUUUAAAUAGCUUGUGUGACCUCUAGUGGCCUUUGCUGCCUUCUGUGCACCUGCACCUUCAAUUUGUGGAAGUCACCUGGACCUACUGAUGGAGCAGCAUAUUUACAGGGAUGUUGGCUACUGUCAGGUGUGUGCUGUGGAAGCACAAGUCAGCCACGGGUUAGGGAUAGAUAUGUCCACACUUUUUUCCUUAAAUAAACACGGGGUGGGGGGUGGGGGGAAUUAACUGAAAUAAGCAUAGCAACUUCCCCUUCCUCCCAAACAUAUCCCAAGACAGAAUCACAGAAUGGUUGAGGUUGGCCUAGUCCAACCCCCUGCUCAAAGCAGGAUCACCUCGUCCAGGUUACUCAGGUCUCUGUCCAGUUUAGUUUUGAAUAUCUCAAAGGAUGGAGACUCUACAGCAUCUCUGGACAAUCUGUUCCACUGUUCAGUUACCCUCAGGAAAAAAAAAAACAACACUCUAUUUUUAUGAUGCUUAAAUGGAAUUUUUUGUAUUUCAAUUUGUGCUUAUUGCGUCUUAUCCUCUCACUAGAUUCCACUGACAAGACCUAAUGCAUUUUUUUUUUUAAGAAUGUGAAGAACAUAUGAUACCCACAGUAGUGACAGAUUAAAAUAAAAGUUUUAAAAUCUACCACACAUGCAUAUUUUUGCAGGGUGGAUUUUUUCCUUCUUUCUUUCUGUCACUCCAGCAAUUCCAGGGUAUCUAAGCUGUAGCACACUCCACACAGUCCUCACUCUGUGUUUGUUUGACUGGGCUAUGUAUUUGCUUCCUACUGCUCUCAGGAGCCUCCUCAUUUCUGCUGGAUGCUCCCAGCUUGCCCCUUGCCUCAGUCCCUGCUGACCCCUCACACACUCUGUGACAUCCCUCACUUUCACAGGCACUCCUGCCCUUAAAAACGCAUAAGAUCUCCCUCCAUCUCCAAAAAGGAUCCAGAAUUUUGCAUCAAAAAGUCAAACAGGUGAUCUUCUUUCCUGCUGUUCAGUCACAUUUUUUAAUGGAACAUAAUAUAAACAAUGUAUUGCAGGAGAAGAACAAAUAGUGUUUGCUGACUGUUAGGUAUAGUUGGUAAACAUUACUGCUAGCUUUCCAAUAUGCCGGUGUGCUUAGAUUAAGCUGGGAAUUUUUCCAAAACUCUCAUUGAAAAGGAUGUAUUACAUCAAAUCAGAAGAGAUUCUUUUACAAGGUUAGUAUUACAUUAUGCUGUGAGCAGCAGAUGGUGCGAGUACUUGUAUAGUAAAGGUAUACGUAAACAGAUGAUGUAAUGAAGGUAUAUCCUUCUUUGCUUGACCUAGAAUAAUUUUAUGUGUUAAUAGAUUUAGCUUUGUAGUGCUUUUACACUGCAUGUCACUGUCUUCUCCCUAUUUUACAGACAAGGAAUCCAAAGACAAGGAAUCCAAAGAUCAUUACAUCAAUGUAGAUUUCAUACUACAGUAACAGUUUGAGUGACAUGGGUAAACCAACACAGAAAGUAUGUAGGAGAAACAGAGUGAUAUUCCAGUGUUUUUCCUUGCCUUUUGCUUUCCCUUUUGCUUUCCCUUUUGCUU